rnacentral:lncRNA from 1 species
CUUAAUAACUGUAUGAACAUGGGAAAUUACUUAAUCUCUCUGCGUCUCAGUUUCUUCAACUAUAAAAUAACAAUGCUGCUGCUGCUGCUGCUGCUGAUGAUGAUGAUGAUGGUGAAGAUGAUGACACCUAUUUCAUGGGGCUGUUGUGAAAAUUGAGAUGAUCCCUGUUAAGUAUUUAGCAGAGUGCCUGACAAACCCGGACUCCCUUGGAUCUGACACUGACCCCAGACGCCAAGCCACAGAGGAGUAUGCUGCAGUCAUUCUCUCUUUGAAAUUCUAAUUAAAAAUACAUUUUAAAAGUUUUUUAAAUGCAUGUUUUUCUUGAAUUCUGAUAUGAGCCAUGCAAUAUAAAAUGGCACUGUAACAUCUCUUCAAAUAUGCGCACUUCUAUUCACAAUAGUAUUUUAAAAAGUAAUCUUACAAAAGUUUUAUUUAAAAAUACCUUGCCAGGUGUGGUAGUGCAUGUCUGUAGUCCCAGCUGUUCAGGAGGCUACCCCUCUUGGGUUUGUUUUCUCUAAAAUAAACCUGUCCUUAAUUGUCAAGACACCGUUCAUGUUUCUUUCCUCUUUCUUUAAUUCUUACAGGGGUGGGAAGAUUGCUUGAGCCCAAGUGUUUGAGACCAACCUGGGCAACAUAGUGACACCUUGCCUUUACAAAAAAAAAAAAAAAAAAAAUUCUAGAUUUAAGCAUUUUGGUAAUGCUUCCAUUUCACUGCUUCUUUCUUAACUGUUUUGGUGUGAUUGCGAUCCAUUUUGUAGUUCACUAAUUUGGUAUUUAACUGAACUGAUCUGUCAGAUCUAUCAAAACAUGGGCUGUUGAUACAAUUUGAGCUAUUUCUUCAUCGUACCUGUGUUUACUUUGAGAGUUUAUCAGCGAAUGUUUAUCAGGAAUUUGGAAGCCUAGCAGCAAGGUGAAUUCUAGAAGAAAAAAAAAUCAACAACAUAUGCUCUACAUUUUUUUCAAUACUAAAUUGAUCAUCUCAAACAUUAUUUUCACUACAAAAAC